rnacentral:misc_RNA from 1 species
GAUGAAGAACGCAGCGAAAUGCGAUACUUGGUGUGAAUUGCAGAAUCCCGUGAACCAUCGAGUCUUUGAACGCAAGUUGCGCCUCAAGCCAUUAGGUUGAGGGCACGUCUGCCUGGGCGUCACAUAUCGUUGCCUGAUGCCAGUUUCCUCGUGAUGGGUGACUGUGCAGGGCGAAUGAUGGCUUCCCGUGAGCAUUGUUGCCUCAUGGUUGGUUGAAAAUUGAGUCCUUGGUAGGGAGCGCCGUGAUAGCUGGUGGUUGAGUGACGAACGAGACCCAAUCAUGUGAGACCCCUACCGAAUUUGGCCUUCAUGACCCACAUGCGUCUUUGGAACGCUCAUGACGAGACCUAAGGUCAGGCGGGGCUACCCGCUGAGUUUAAGCAUAUCAAUAAGCGGAGGA